CUUUCCCAUGCUGUUCUUGUGACAGUGAAUAAGUUUCAUGAGAUCUGAUGGCUUUAAAAAGAGCUUGUCGCCUGCACAAGCUUUUCUCUUUGCCUGCCGUCAUCCACGUAGGAUGUGACUUGCUUCUCCUUGCUGUCCGCCAUGAUUGUGAGGCUUCCCCAGCCACGUGGAACUAAAAGAAGAUCAAGAAUGUAACCGCACCUGAACAGACUCUUUCACAAGAUAAUAACUGUCUCUCAGGCUCAUUCUGUUUUCAAAGAGAACCAUUUACAAGUUAAUCUCCACUCCCAUCCAUUCAUUCUCCCUAGUAAUCAUGUAUUGCCCCUAAACAGAAUUACCUAUAUUCCCCAUCUCUCCCCCAGCCUCUGAAAUAAGGCUAUAUAAGUAUCUGGGCCCCAUUGGGAUUUGGGGGUGAUAUGGUUUGUGUGUGUCCCCACCCAAAUGUCAUCUUGAACUAUAAUUCCCACAAUUCCCAUGUGUUGUGGGAGGGACCUGGUGGGAGAUUAUUGAAUCAUGGGGGCCAGUCUUUCCAGAGCUAUUCUCAUAAUAGUGAAUAAGUCUCAUGAGAUCUGAUGGUAUUAAAAAAGGGAGUUUUCCUACACAGGCUCUCUCUUCUCUUGUCUGCCACCAUGUGAGAUGUGCCUUUCACGUUCUGCCAUGAUUGUGGGGCCUCCCCCAGGCAAGUGGAACUGUAAGUCCAAUAAACCUCUUUCUUUUGUAAAUUACCCAGUCUCAUGUAUGUCUUUAUCAGCAGCUUCAAAAUGGACUAAUACAGCAAAUUGGUACCAGUAGAGUGGGGCACUGCUAAAAAGGUAUCCGAAAAUGUGGAAGCAACUUUGGAACUGGGUAGCAGACAGAGGUUGGAACAGUUUGGACGGCUGAGAAGAAGAUGGGAAAAUGUGGGAAAGUUUGGAACUCCCUAGAGACUUGUUGAAUGGCUUUGACCAAAAUGCUGAUAAUGAUACGGACAAUGAAAUCCAGGCUGAGGUGGUCUCAGCUGGAGUAAGGAACUUGUUAAGAACUGGAGCAAAGGUGACUCUUGUUAUGUUUCAGCAAAGAGACUGGUGGCAUUUUGCCCCUGCCCUAGCGAUUUAUGGAACUUUGAACUUGAGAGAGAUGAUUUAGGGUAUCUGACAGAAGAAAUUUCUAAGCAGCAAAGCAUUCAAGAGGGGACUUGGGUGCUGUGAACGGCAUUCAGUUUUGAAAGGGAAACAGAGCAUAAAAGCAGAAAAUGUGCAGCCUGACAAUGCAAUAGAAAAGAAAAUCCCAUUUUCUGAGAAGAAAUUCAAGCCUGCUGCAGAAAUUUGCAUAAGUAAUGAGGAGCUGAAGAUUAAUCCCCAAGACAAUGAGGAAUAUGUCUCCGGGGCAUGUCAGAGGUCUUCAUGGCAGCCAAGAAGGAGGCCCUGAGGGCUAUGAGGAAAAAGUGAUUUCGUGGCUGGACGCAGGGUCCCCAUGCUGUGUGCAGCCUAGGGACUUGGUGCCCUGCAUCCCAGCCACUCCAGUCAUGGAUGAAAGGGGCCACUGUAGAGCUCAGGCCAUGGCUUCAGAAGGUGCAAGCCUAAACCUUGGCAACUUCCAUGUGGUGUUGAGCCUACCAGUGCACAGAAGUCAAGAACUGGGUUUGGGAACCUCCGCCUAGAUUUCAGAGGAUGUACGGAAAUGCCUGGAUACCCAAGCAGAAGCUUGCUGCAGGGUCAGGGCUCUCAUGGAGAAUGCAGUGCAGAAGGGAAAUAUGGUGUCAGAACCCCCCCACAGAGUUCUUACCGGUGCACUGCCUAGUGGGGCUGUGAGAAGAGGGCCACCAUCCUCCAGACCCCAGAAUGAUAGAUCCACUUACAGUUUGCACCAUGUGCCUGGAAAAGCUGCAGACACUCAAUGCCAGCCCAUGAAUGCAGCCGGGAGGGAGGCUGUACCCUGAAAAGCCACAGGGGUGGAGCUACCCAAUAUGAUGGGAACCCACCUCUUGUAUCAGUGUGACCUGGAUGUGAGACAUGGAGUCAAAGGAUAUCAUUUGGAGCUUUAAGAUUUGACUGCCUUGCUGGAUUUUGGACUUGCGUGGGGCCUGUAGGCCCUUUGUUUUGGCCAGUUUUUCCCAGUUGGGAUGGCUGUAUUUACCCAAUGUCUGUACCCCAUUGUAUCUAGGAAGUAACUAACUUGCUUUUGAUUUUACAGGCUCAUAGGCAGAAGGGACUUGCCUUGUCUCAGAUGAAACUUUGGAUUGUAGACUUUUGAGUUAAUGCUGAAAUGAGUUAAGACUUUGGGGGACUGUUGGGAAGGCAUGACUGGUUUUGAAAUGUGAGGACAUGACGUUUGGGAGGGGCCAGGGGUGGUAUGAUAUGGUUUGCCUGUAUCCCCACCUAAAUCUCAUCUUGAAUUGUAACUCCCACAAUUCCCAUGUGUUAUGGGAGGGACCCAGUGGGAGUUAAUUGAAUUAUGGGGAUGGAUCUUUCCCAUGCUGUUCUCGUGAUAAUGAAAAGUCUCAUGAGAUCUGGUGGUUUUACAAAUGGGAGUUUACCUGCACAAGUUCUCUCUCUCUCUUUGCCUGCUGCCAUCCAUGUAAGACAUGACUAGCUCCUCCUUGCCUUUCACCCUCUCUCAUGACUGUGAGGCCUCCCCAGCCACGUGGGGAUUGAAGGGCAGAGAAGGGCAGAGAAGGGCAAAGGUAAGUCCAAUAAACGUCUUUCUUUUGUAAAUUG